rnacentral:rRNA from 1 species
UACGAAGGGGGCUAGCGUUGCUCGGAAUCACUGGGCGUAAAGGGUGCGUAGGCGGCGCGGUAAGUCGGGUGUGAAAUCUCGGAGCUUAACUCCGAAACUGCAUUCGAUACUGCCGUGCUUGAGGACUGGAGAGGAGACUGGAAUUUACGGUGUAGCGGUGAAAUGCGUAGAUAUCGUAAGGAAGACCAGUGGCGAAGGCGGGUCUCGUGGACAGUUCCUGACGCUGAGGCACGAAGGUCAGGGGAGCAAACGGG